UUAGACCUCAGAUCAGGCAGGAUUACCCGCUGAACUUAAGCAUAUCAAUAAGCGGAGGAAAAGAAACUAACAAGGAUUCCCCUAGUAACGGCGAGUGAAGCGGGAAGAGCUCAAAUUUGUAAUCUGGCACUUUCAGUGUCCGAGUUGUAAUCUCGAGAAGUGUUUUCCGCGCCGGACCGCAUACAAGUCUGUUGGAAUACAGCGUCAUAGUGGUGAGAACCCCGUAACUGAUGCGGAUGCCCGGUGCUUUGUGAUACACUUUCGAAGAGUCGAGUUGUUUGGGAAUGCAGCUCAAAUUGGGUGGUAAAUUCCAUCUAAAGCUAAAUAUUGGCGAGAGACCGAUAGCGAACAAGUACCGUGAGGGAAAGAUGAAAAGCACUUUGGAAAGAGAGUUAACAGUACGUGAAAUUGUUGGAAGGGAAACGAUUGAAGUCAGACUUGUUAUCUGGAGUUCAGCCUUUCGGUGUACUCUCCAGUUUACAGGCCAGCAUCAGUUUUCGGGGCGGGAAAAUCGUAAUUAGAAGGUAGCAGCCUAGCUGUGUUAUAGCUUUUUACUGGAUUCCGCUUUGGGGACUGAGGAACGCAGUGUGCUUUUA
rnacentral:rRNA from 1 species